GACGUAGGGGGCCAGCGUUGUUCGGAAUUACUGGGCGUAAAGGGCUCGUAGGCGGUGCGGCAAGUUGGGAGUGAAAUCUCUGGGCUUAACCCAGAGGCUGCUUCCAAAACUGCUGUGCUUGAGUGUGGGAGAGGCGCGUGGAAUUGCAGGUGUAGCGGUGAAAUGCGUAGAUAUCUGCAGGAACACCCGUGGCGAAAGCGGCGCGCUGGACCACUACUGACGCUGAGGAACGAAAGCUAGGGGAGCAAACAGG
rnacentral:rRNA from 1 species